rnacentral:lncRNA from 1 species
ACGCGAAGCCGCCCUCCGCCCACCCCGCCCAGCGCACAGGGGAGCGGGCUCCGCCGAGGCCCUAAUGCCCGGCCUGCCAGGCAGCGGCGCGGCCAGGCGGCGCAGCCCCGCCCACCCCUCGGCAACCCCUCCGCGGCCCUUGUGCGCGAGCCGGGGAACUCCGGUCCGUCCCCACCCCGCGCGCGGCAGAGGGCAGGACCGAAGGCGGGCGCCACCUCCUGCCCGCGUCCCUGCGGUCCUAGAGCCGGGGACCCAGAGACCCCCGCGUAGGAAGGGGUGCGGCGGGGAGGCGCGGGGGUGGCGGCGGCGAUCUGGGAGAACCCUGGAGGGGACCAGCUGCGACACCCACCGCGGGCGAGGGGACGGCGAGCCCCCGCUGCCUAAACAGAAAACGGAGGCGAUGAUCUGGGUCCCCAGAGCACCAUCACUUCUAAGACUGUGACCUGCUUACAGAUCCACUCCUCUGCCCCCACAGUCCACAUGUCCACCCUGGGGGCCAUGGCUUAUUGAUUCUUCCAUGUAUCAGCCCAAGAAUCCCCUGCUGCCUUCUGAAUAAAGGGUGCAAAUACACGAAGCCUGCUCACGAAUCAACAUAAAACUUGGCUUCCGAUCCCGCUUCCCUGCCUGUCUGCUUCCACACUUUUCACUCACGGACUUUCCUGCUCCCCCGGGCACCUUGUCUCCUUUUCCAUCUGUGCUGACCCUUUGGCUUAGUGACUCAGCUUUUGGAUUGGCCACUUGGCUGGGCCCUUGGUCCCUGCAAAACUGAGUUUCCUGUAUCUGUGCUCUGUCAACUCUGAGUCAGCCAAACAGCUGAGGUCAUUCUCUACUUGUCACCACCGAUGAGGACGGAGAGCCAACACCACCAGUCAGUCACCCAAGCUGGAAAUUUAAGCAUCAUCAUUUCUUCUUUUCCUUCCCAGCCCUCCCAUCGCUGCUUGCAGGCCAGUGAGUUCCACCCCAGGAAUGUUCCACCCCAGUGUAUAUAUUUCCUUCUGAAGUCCCAUCCCCAUACUGCUUGAGAUCGGGGCUCAUAAUUCCCCCAAUAAACCACUGUCCAGCCUCCUGCCUCACCUCUAUCUA